CCCACCUUGUCGUGGUGGAGGAGCUUGCGGGCCUUUAAUUAGGUCUUACCAAGCGGUCCCACCUCGGUACUGACCUUAAGUGGUUGGUAUCGGAGCUUCCUCUGGCCUUGGCUGGCUGGAGGUGGCAGGUCGGAGGCAACCUACUCGCGAUGAGCAAAUGCCCUAAGGGAAGGAAAACCCUGAAAAAAAACCCCUCAACUCCCAACUCGUCAAGGGGGUCACUUGGCACGGAGGUAGUUACGUGUCAACGAGGAUCCUGCAGAUACCUGGCGCCCUCUGCAGUACACAGCCUUCCCCGUGGUACGCUGCUCUGCCACGGGGUGACCACCCCUUCAUGCCCACUCGUGGGAACUAUAUGGAAACUAAAAAGCAACCAGGACAACCAACUGGCCAAUUGGUGGACGGGAGCCAACCCGUUAAAUUGGACGGCCUGGCAGACGCCGUAAAGUCUGCGACGAAGGAUCGAAUUUCUAAUCGUCCUCAACCUGCUCAAUCGUCUAUCAACAAUCAGACCAAUUUCGUAAACAAGCCGAAUUAUUCAUCUCGCGCCGGUAAAAUGGUCAAAGUGUUGUAUGGACGCGACUACAGCCACUAUUGCCUAACCAGAAAUAAUAAUGUUACACUGUUAUGCACGUACUUCGUGACUAAUAAAAGGGAUCGUAGAUUCCCUAAUAGAUUCAAACCAAAUCAAAAUGAAACCUCGAGUAAUGGCUUCCAUUCAGAUAAACGUAAAUUAUGUACUACACCUAUUAAAAAUGAACAGAUUAAAAUGCAAUCAUAUUAAAAAAAUUAUGGAAACUGAUACAGGACAGAAACUGAUACAGAAAAAGUGGUAUCAAAAUACAUUAAGCCACCAUGUGAGGACGAAAUAAAAAGUUUUAUAGAAUGCGCGGAAAUGAAUUCUUACGAUUUAAAUAAAUGCCGAAGUGCAUUAAAAAAACUAUCCAAGUAUUAUGAUCAAAAAGGAUAAACUAAUAACCAUUUAUAGCAUGAUUACCUAACUAGUGGGGUGUUUUCAUAAAAAAAUACAGUUACUACAAUAUUAAAAAUAUUAUUCUCUCCAACCGUUGUAAGAACAACUUUUGAGUUUUCUGCCUUGUAAAAAAUUUGUAAACUCAAACAUCAUCUGUUAAUUACAUACCUAAUAAAUAAUAAUCAUAUAAUAAUAAAAUCCAAUUACCUACAGUGUUCUCCUACUAUUUAGUAUCCU